CGAACGCUGGCGGCGUGCCUAAUACAUGCAAGUCGAGCGAGCUUGCCUAGAUGAAUUUGGUGCUUGCACCAAAUGAAACUAGAUACAAGCGAGCGGCGGACGGGUGAGUAACACGUGGGUAACCUGCCCAAGAGACUGGGAUAACACCUGGAAACAGAUGCUAAUACCGGAUAACAACACUAGACGCAUGUCUAGAGUUUAAAAGAUGGUUCUGCUAUCACUCUUGGAUGGACCUGCGGUGCAUUAGCUAGUUGGUAAGGUAACGGCUUACCAAGGCAAUGAUGCAUAGCCGAGUUGAGAGACUGAUCGGCCACAUUGGGACUGAGACACGGCCCAAACUCCUACGGGAGGCAGCAGUAGGGAAUCUUCCACAAUGGACGCAAGUCUGAUGGAGCAACGCCGCGUGAGUGAAGAAGGGUUUCGGCUCGUAAAGCUCUGUUGGUAGUGAAGAAAGAUAGAGGUAGUAACUGGCCUUUAUUUGACGGUAAUUACUUAGAAAGUCACGGCUAACUACGUGCCAGCAGCCGCGGUAAUACGUAGGUGGCAAGCGUUGUCCGGAUUUAUUGGGCGUAAAGCGAGUGCAGGCGGUUCAAUAAGUCUGAUGUGAAAGCCUUCGGCUCAACCGGAGAAUUGCAUCAGAAACUGUUGAACUUGAGUGCAGAAGAGGAGAGUGGAACUCCAUGUGUAGCGGUGGAAUGCGUAGAUAUAUGGAAGAACACCAGUGGCGAAGGCGGCUCUCUGGUCUGCAACUGACGCUGAGGCUCGAAAGCAUGGGUAGCGAACAGGAUUAGAUACCCUGGUAGUCCAUGCCGUAAACGAUGAGUGCUAAGUGUUGGGAGGUUUCCGCCUCUCAGUGCUGCAGCUAACGCAUUA
rnacentral:rRNA from 1 species